rfam:Danio rerio chromosome 1, GRCz11 reference primary assembly.
AUUUGAAACGUUUUGGCCAAAAAUGUAGCCAUGGCAAAGGGGUUUUUUGCAGAAACGUUUCAGAUUU